rnacentral:rRNA from 1 species
UACCUGCAGCCCAAGUGGUGCUCGUUAUUAUUGGGUCUAAAACGUCCGUAGUCGGCUGAGUAGCUGCCCGGGUAAAUCGAGGCGCUCAACGUCUCGAAUUCCGGGUAGACCGCUCGGCUAGGGAGUGGGAGAGGUGUGAGGUACUCUGAGGGUAGGGGUAAAAUCCUGUAAUCCUUGGGGGACCACCAGUGGCGAAGGCGUCACACUAGAACACGUCCGACGAUCAGGGACGAAGCCCUGGGGCGCAAACGGG